GCAUGUGGAUUAAUCGAUGCAACGCGAAGAACCUUACCUGGGUUUGACAUAUACCGGAAAGCUGCAGAGAUGUGGCCCCCCUUGUGGUCGGUAUACAGGUGGUGCAUGGCUGUCGUCAGCUCGUGUCGUGAGAUGUUGGGUUAAGUCCCGCAACGAGCGCAACCCUAUCUUAUGUUGCCAGCACGUUAUGGUGGGGACUCGUAAGAGACUGCCGGGGUCAACUCGGAGGAAGGUGGGGACGACGUCAAGUCAUCAUGCCCCUUAUGUCCAGGGCUUCACACAUGCUACAAUGGCCAGUACAGAGGGCUGCGAGACCGUGAGGUGGAGCGAAUCCCUUAAAGCUGGUCUCAGUUCGGAUCGGGGUCUGCAACUCGACCCCGUGAAGUCGGAGUCGCUAGUAAUCGCAGAUCAGCAACGCUGCGGUGAAUACGUUCCCGGGCCUU
rnacentral:rRNA from 1 species